UACGAAGGGGGCUAGCGUUGUUCGGAAUCACUGGGCGUAAAGCGCACGUAGGCGGAUCUUUAAGUCAGAGGUGAAAUCCCAAGGCUCAACCUUGGAACUGCCUUUGAUACUGGGGAUCUUGAGUCCGGGAGAGGUGAGUGGAACUGCGAGUGUAGAGGUGAAAUUCGUAGAUAUUCGCAAGAACACCGGUGGCGAAGGCGGCCCACUGGAUCGGUACUGACGCUGAGGUGCGAAAGCGUGGGGAGCAAACAGG
rnacentral:rRNA from 1 species